rnacentral:rRNA from 1 species
UUCCUACGGGACGCAGCAGUGGGGAAUAUUGCGCAAUGGGGGCAACCCUGACGCAGCAACGCCGCGUGCGGGAUGAAGGCUUUCGGGUUGUAAACCGCUUUCAGCAGGGAUGACAUCGACAGUACCUGCAGAAGAAGCCCCGGCUAACUACGUGCCAGCAGCCGCGGUAAUACGUAGGGGGCAAGCGUUAUCCGGAUUUACUGGGUGUAAAGGGAGCGUAGACGGUGCGCCAAGUCUGGAGUGAAAUGCCGCAGCUUAACUGCGGAACUGCUUUGGAAACUGGCGAACUAGAGUGCGGGAGGGGG